rnacentral:rRNA from 1 species
AUUGAACGCUGGCGGCAGGCCUAAUACAUGCAAGUCGAACGAGUGGCGGACGGGUGAGUAAUGUCUGGGAAACUGCCUGAUGGAGGGGGCUAACUGCUGGAAACGGUAGCUAAUACCGCAUACCAUCAGAUGUGCCCACAUGGGAUUAGCUUGUUGGUGGGGUAACGGCUCACCAAGGCGACGAUCCCUAGCUGGUCUGAGAGGCUGACCGGCCACACUGGAACUGAGACACGGUCCAGACUCCUACGGGAGGCAGCAGUGGGGAAUAUUGCGCAAUGGGCGCAAGCCUGAUGCAGCCAUGCCGCGUGUAUGAAGAAGGCUUUCGGGUUGUAAAGUACUUUCGUCGGGGAGGCGGUACCCGAAGAGAAAGCACCGGCUAACUCCGUGCCAGCCGCCGCGGUAAUAC